rnacentral:rRNA from 1 species
AAUGAACGCUGGCGGCAGGCCUAACACAUGCAAGUCGAACGGAGUUAUAUUGUAGCUUGCUAUGGUAUAACUUAGUGGCAGACGGGUGAGUAAUGUAUAGGAAUCUACCUAGUAGUAUGGAAUAAUUGUUGGAAACGGCAACUAAUACCGUAUACGCCCUACGGGGGAAAAAUUUAUUGCUAUUAGAUGAGCCUAUAUUAGAUUAGCUAGUUGGUGGAGUAACAGCCUACCAAGGCAAUGAUCUAUAGCUGAUCUGAGAGGAUGAUCAGCCACACUGGAACUGAGAUACGGUCCAGACUCCUACGGGAGGCAGCAGUGGGGAAUAUUGGACAAUGGGCGAAAGCCUGAUCCAGCCAUGCCGCAUGAGUGAAGAAGGCCUUUGGGUUGUAAAGCUCUUUUAGUGAGGAAGAUAAUGUCGGUACUCACAGAAGAAGUCCUGGCUAACUCCGUGCCAGCCGCCGCAG